UCCUCUUUACAGAGGCAGUUCGUUUCGAGUUCCCGACAUUACUCGCUGGUAACAAAACGUGAGGGUUGCGCUCGUUGCGGGACUUAACCCAACAUUUCACAACACGAGCUGACGACAGCCAUGCACCACCUGUGCAACACCUUCGAAAGCGAGUGGCUUUCACCACCUUGCAGUUGCAUGUCAAGCCCUGGUAAGGUUCUUCGCGUUGCAUCGAAUUAAGCCACAUGCUCCACCGCUUGUGCGGGCCCCCGCCAAUUCCUUUGAGUUUCACCCUUGCGGGCGUACUCCCCAGGUGGAUUACUUAACGCUUUCGCUAAGACGCUGACUGUGUAUCGCCAACAUCGAGUAAUCAUCGUUUACAGCGUGGACUAC
rnacentral:misc_RNA from 1 species